UCGUCGGUUACUCGGGCGAGGAAAGAAGCCCCCGACGAGGAACUCUAUCUUCUCUUCUUGUUCGAAAACCUAGAAGCUAGAUUCGGGAGAAGAAAACCUAGGCCCUUGAUCUCGGCUCCUCCUCUGUCGGUGGAGACCGACAUCUCUUUCUCUUUCUCGUCGUCUUCGAUGUCGUGCGGAUGCCUUGUUCUCCAAGAAGUGGAAGACGGCGAGGAGGCCAAGUCCAAGACCAGGGCGGCUUCUUCUUCUUCCUGUAGUUCUUGCUCGGGGCGUCGGAGAUGCCGGUCGGAGAGCAUGUUCCCCAUGUACGCCAUGGGAAAUUGGAGGCCCAAUUCGAUAUCCCGGACGAUCCUCGAUUCUGCCGGUGAUUCCAUUUGGGAUUCCGUGAGAGCGGAAACGAAGUCCGAGGCUGAGAGGGAGCCAAUUUUAAGUAGCUUUUUGUAUGCCAGUGUUUUAUCUCAUGAUUGUUUGGAGCGGGCAUUGGGAUUUGUACUUGCCAACAGGCUACAGAACCCGACAUUACUGGCUACUCAACUAAUGGACAUUUUUGCAGAUGUUAUGAUGAAGGAUAGAGGUAUUCAACACGCCAUUCGCCUAGAUGCUCAGGCAUUCAAAGAUAGGGAUCCUGCAUGUGCAUCUUAUAGCUGGGCACUGUUAUAUCUUAAGGGUUACCAUUCUCUUCAGUCAUAUCGUAUAGCACAUGCAUUGUGGAACCAAGGACGUAAAGUCUUAGCCUUGGCAUUGCAAAGUCGAAUUAGUGAGGUCUUUGCUGUAGAUAUACAUCCAGCUGCAAGAAUUGGAGAGGGAAUAUUAUUGGAUCAUGGAACGGGUUUGGUUAUCGGUGAGACUGCUGUUGUAGGAAAUUGGGUUUCUCUAAUGCAGGGUGUUACCUUAGGAGGGACUGGUAAGCAAACUGGAGAUCGACACCCUAAAAUAGGUCAAGGUGCUCUAAUUGGAGCUGGUGCAACAAUCCUUGGUAAUAUUGUAGUAGGUGUUGGUGCCAUGAUUGCAUCUGGUUCCCUUGUAUUAAAGGAUGUGCCUCCCCACAGCAUGGCAGUAGGAAAUCCAGCAAGAAUAGUUGGUUAUUUAGAAGAUGAAGAUCCAUCUCUAACAAUGAAGCAUGGUAAGGUGUUUUUGAGAGAAGUUUUCAUUAGAUGUUAGGAAGGAUUAUUUUGAACAUGUAGCUGCUAGUUCUACGGAGAGGAGAGCGAAUGGUGCUCUUUACCAUGAAAAGGAAAGUUGAAUGGGAAAUGCAUAAUUUAUACAUGAUGCAGUCCUCUGUUGUAGAUUAGGUUCCCAAUUCGCAGUUUCUUGUAUGUACUCUACUCUUGCAUGGUUGUAGUUAAGGCAGUAUGCUUAUAAACAGUAGCAGGUAUCUGAAGAUGCGAAGAACUCAUAAAAAAUUGAGGAAAAAAAAGCUGAAGAAAAUGAUUCUAACGCCU